rnacentral:rRNA from 1 species
UUACACAUGCAAGUCGAGCGGAGAUGAGGUGCUUGCACCUUAUCUUAGCGGCGGACGGGUGAGUAAUGCUUAGGAAUCUGCCUAUUAGUGGGGGACAACAUUCCGAAAGGAAUGCUAAUACCGCAUACGUCCUACGGGAGAAAGCAGGGGAUCCUCGGACCUUGCGCUAAUAGAUGAGCCUAAGUCGGAUUAGCUAGUUGGUGGGGUAAGGGCCUACCAAGGCGACGAUCUGUAGCGGGUCUGAGAGGAUGAUCCGCCACACUGGGACUGAGACACGGCCCAGACUCCUACGGGAGGCAGCAGUGGGGAAUAUUGGACAAUGGGGGGAACCCUGAUCCAGCCAUGCCGCGUGUGUGAAGAAGGCCUUAUGGUUGUAAAGCACUUUAAGCGAGGAGGAGGCUACUGAGACUAAUACUCUUGGAUAGUGGACGUUACUCGCAGAAUAAGCACCGGCUAACUCUGUGCCAGCAGCCGCGGUAAUACAGAGGGUGCGAGCGUUAAUCGGAUUUACUGGGCGUAAAGCGUGCGUAGGCGGCUUUUUAAGUCGGAUGUGAAAUCCCCGAGCUUAACUUGGGAAUUGCAUUCGAUACUGGGAAGCUAGAGUAUGGGAGAGGAUGGUAGAAUUCCAGGUGUAGCGGUGAAAUGCGUAGAGAUCUGGAGGAAUA